rfam:Phaseolus vulgaris cultivar G19833 chromosome 4, whole genome shotgun sequence.
AACCCAUGAUUUGGGUAUUUUCUAAGCAUCAUUUUAAAUAUUUCUCAUGUCUCACAGAAGACUUCAUCUGCUCCUUGUCUGAAUAUAGAGAUUUCAGACUUUGCUU